GAUGAACGCUAGCUACAGGCUUAACACAUGCAAGUCGAGGGGCAGCGGGAUUGAAGCUUGCUUCAAUUGCCGGCGACCGGCGCACGGGUGAGUAACGCGUAUCCAACCUUCCGUACACUCAGGGAUAGCCUUUCGAAAGAAAGAUUAAUACCUGAUGGUAUCUUAAGCACACAUGUAAUUAAGAUUAAAGAUUUAUCGGUGUACGAUGGGGAUGCGUUCCAUUAGGUAGUAGGCGGGGUAACGGCCCACCUAGCCAACGAUGGAUAGGGGUUCUGAGAGGAAGGUCCCCCACAUUGGAACUGAGACACGGUCCAAACUCCUACGGGAGGCAGCAGUGAGGAAUAUUGGUCAAUGGACGAGAGUCUGAACCAGCCAAGUAGCGUGAAGGAUGAAGGUCCUACGGAUUGUAAACUUCUUUUAUAAGGGAAUAAACCCUCCCACGUGUGGGAGCUUUGAUGUACCUUAUGAAUAAGCAUCGGCUAACUCCGUG
rnacentral:rRNA from 1 species